GGGCUCUUAGCGGAGUGGUUACCGCGUUGGUCUUCGGUCAUGCGUGUUUCGGUACGUGUGGAUGAUAUCCAAAGGUCGUCGGUUCAAGUCCGGCAGGGCUCA
rfam:Calocera viscosa TTFC12733 unplaced genomic scaffold CALVIscaffold_18, whole genome shotgun sequence.